AGCAGUCGCCGCGGUAAUACGGAGGGGGCUAGCGUUGUUCGGAAUUACUGGGCGUAAAGCGCACGUAGGCGGCUUGGUAAGUUAGAGGUGAAAGCCCGGAGCUCAACUCCGGAAUUGCCCUUGAUACUGGAAGUCUUGAGUAUGUGAGAGGUGAGUGGAACUGCGAGUGUAGAGGUGAAAUUUGUAGAUAUUCGCAAGAACACCAGUGGCGGAGGCGGCUCACUGGCCCAUAACUGACGCUGAGGCACGAAAGCGUGGGGAGCAAACAGGAUUAGAUACCCGCGUAGUCCCUGUCUCUUAUAC
rnacentral:rRNA from 1 species